CAAUAGCGUAUAUUAACUUUGUUGCAGUUAAAAAGCUCGUAGUUGAAUUUUUGGUCGCGUCUUUUGAUUCGCACUUGUGUGUUUUUGGAAGCGCGACCAUUUGCAUGCAGAUGGUCCGUGGCAUUAGGUUGUCGCGGAUCGGAGGCAUGCCGUUUACUGUGAAAAAAUUAGAGUGUUCAAAGCAGGCUUACGCCGUUGAAUAUAUUAGCAUGGAAUAAUGAGAUAGGACCUUGGUGCUAUUUUGUUGGUUUGCGCGCCGUGGUAAUGAUUAACAGGAACGGUUGGGGGUCUUCGUAUUCCAUUGUCAGAGGUGAAAUUCUUGGAUUUCUGGAAGACGAACUACUGCGAAAGCAUUGACCAAGGAUGUUUUCAUUAA
rnacentral:rRNA from 1 species